rnacentral:lncRNA from 1 species
GGGGUAGCCGCCGAUGUCCUGGGUGGCUUUGGGGGCGAUUUGCAAAGGCAUGCAUUUGUUGUUAAGAGCUCGGAGAAACAGUUUGGGGGAGCCUGUCACAGAUGCAAAGUCUGUUGAUAUUUCCAGGAGUGUUUGGUUUGGUUUGGGCUUUAGGGACCUACAGCAAGCAUCGAUUCUCGUGGAGGCGAACAACACUGACAGCUACUCUUUGUCUCUCGUCGGGAUUCUGAACAGAGCCCGACGUCGCUUCCAUUUCAGAGAUAUAUGCCGCUGACACUACCUUGAGAGAGCUCCUGCCUCCAUGGUUCCUGACCUGCCUAGAAGGGGAGGGCGCAGGAGACUCUUGUUCUACAGCUGUCCUCGGGAUGCCCUCAAUUCCCAGGCGCAGGGAUAAGCUUGUCUGACCCCAUUUGACCCCGCCGCAGGCGCCAGGCGUCCUCAUUUAUUGCGAGGCCUAAGAGUCCUCAAGGCUUACUGCCUGCCUACCCCCCUCCCCCACCACCCGCCGCUCUUCGUUUUUUGGUGUUUUGUUUUGUUUUGUUUUGUUUUUCCUCUCCUUGUCCUGUGCGGGAAUCAUAUGCCUCCUUCCUGUUGUCUAAGCUCCCCUCUUCCGUAGGCACAAACCUGCCCCCUCUGCGUUUUUUACCUUAAAACAGGUGUUCUGAGGAUUGUCUCUAGUUCUGGCGACGUCUUGAAAGAACUGAGUCUGAGCGAGGCAGACAGACGGCAGCAUUAGUGGUGAUGGAGCUGCACUGCUAAAUGUGGAGAUGGGAGGGGAAACACACCUGGGCUUCCACAGGGCAGGAGAAGAUCUGUCACUUGGGCAGAGCCUUUGAGUCGCACUCAGGUGAUCUCCAGGUCUACACUCUCCCACCUGUGCUCCGAGGAGAGGUGUAGACUAUCUCUUGGAUUUUGCUUGGAGGAUGUCCUUUCCGGACUCAGGACCUAGGAGAGACCAGCAGGAAACAGAACAGAGUCUACAUAGGUGAAUAUCAAAGAAUCACCUGGAGAGAUUUACAGGAGAUGUCCAGCAAUGGGGAGAGAAUUGAAAACCCCACAAGAUUAUUCCCCCAGGAGUGAGCCAGCAUGGAUGCAUUGCCAUAUUCCAGACAACAGACUGGGACAAAAGGCCUGAGUCACAGACCAGUGAUUGGCAAAACAGAGAAGCUGAAGCAACUGUACAGCAAGCAGGAGCUCACACACGGGAGCCUACCUCUGGGAAUGCCGAGAAGUCAAUGCAAUGGUCACAUCUCAGGUUGUCUGGACACACAGACGGUUCACAAAUCCCGGGAUGGACCAGGAAGGCCAUUCAGUGAGAUUGUGUUGAACUGGGGAGUGGUGACAGUAAACAUUGACAUUAUGGUCCUACAUACAUAUCAUACGUUCCAUUAGUGUCCUACAUAAGUUAUAACCUGCUUACUCCUCCCAGUGCCCUUGAGAGAUCAGCCUGCUAAUUCCCACUCCAGAGUCAGGGAAGCUAAGUGCUGGGGACUCAGGAAACUUGACUGCGUUUAUAGCCAGUGAGUGGCAAAGCUGAUGUUUGAAUCCGUGUUUCGUGUUUCAGAGUCUUGGGAAGCUACGGUUUUUGUCCAUGGGGCUGAGUUGCUACACCACCCUAGAUGGUGGGCUGAGGGGCCUCUUCUGAUGAACUCCCUUCAGAAUGCAUUCCCUUCACAUCUGUUACCUCUUGCGGUGUGGGUCGCUGCUCUGUGGAAGUUGGACAGAACCCUUGGAACCUCCCGUGUGAUUCUGAAGUCUAGUGCAAACUCCAGUCAGUAAACUAAGAGAAACCAUUUUUAGUCAAAGGAAGCAAGGAACACUCCAACCAGCCCAGACUGACUUUCUUCUGUGGUUAAAAAUCUGGAUCUCCAUGUAAUUGCAACUGGGAAGAUCCUGCUGGAAGAUGUGCCAAGGUAGCCCCACAUGUUCCAAAGGGAUCGAAACUCAUUUGGAAGGGUAUGUUCUGAGAGAGAGAGAGAGAGAGAGAGAGAGAGAGA